GAUUAACGCUGGCGGCGUGCAUAACACAUGCAAGUCGAACGAUGAAGAUUAUUAUACUUCUUCGGAAUGAAAAUAAUUGGAUUAUUGGCGGACGGGUGAUUAACGCGUGAGUAACCUGCCUUACACAAGGGGAUAGCCGUUGGAAACGACGAAUAAUACCCUAUGAAACUAUCACUUCGCAUGAAGCGAUAGUCAAAGUGUUAGCGGUGUAAGAUGGACUUGCGUCUGAUUAGCUAGUUGGUGAGAAAAAAGCCCACCAAGGCAACGAUCAGUAGCCGGAUUGAGAGAGUGGACGGCACCACUGCGACAGGGACACGGCCCAGACACCUACGGGAGGCAGCAGUGGGGAACUAUGCACAAUGGGGGAAACACUGAUGCAGCGACGCCGCGUGACUUAGAAGGCCUGCGGGUAGUAAAAAUCUUUUGUAUAGGAAGAAAAUGACAGUACUAUAAGAAUAAGGACCGGCUAAUUACGUG
rnacentral:rRNA from 1 species